CUUUAAUAAGGAUAUGGAUUAAUAUCACCCUAAAUAGCUGCCAGAGGUGCCCUUCUUCCAUUCACAGGGCGUAACGAUGGUAAGCACAAGACAGAAGAGCAGCAAGAUCCCAGGCUGCAGCAAGUGAGGAUCUGCUCAGAUAUGACAACAGUGGGCAAAUAAAUAAGAGAAGGAAACAGCUCACCUUCAGAAAGACUUCAAGGUCCUCAGGUGGAAGCAGAACAGAAGAAAAAGGCUCAGCUUGAAAUUACCUUUUGCAAGUUGGAGUACUGAAGGACAUUAUCAGGACAGAGAUUCCUCCAGAGAGGCUGAGUUCAAGAGGGUAUUCUUGUAAACAUUUCUGGACCUCAACUGCAGUUUGUGAUCCACAGAUACGUGAGCAGCUCCUCUCCUCUCCUCUUAACAUCAUACAGACUUUUGUUUUCAAAUGAGAACUGACCCAAAGCAAAGCUGCUUACUUCUGGGGCUGGAAGCUUCAUGUGAACUCUCGUGUUUCUUAGAUUAGGUCAUGAAAAAGGGCACAACUUUGCAGCCUUGCAAGAGAAAGUCAAGACAACUGGAGAUGGAUACCAUAAUUCAGGAAAACAACAUGAUGGAAAACCUGGUGAUAGGAUUACUAUCAGCUCUCACUUCACAGCCUCAAAAGUAUCAUCAUGUUACAAAACACCCAGUCGUGCUAUAUUAUGCACUGAUUAUCUGGAUAUGGGAAGAAAAUAUAUAAGUACCAUCCCUCAAAAUUGAUUGUAACUACAGAAACAACUAUAGAACAAAAAAUGACAAAAAUACUCUCAGUAAUACAAGCAUUUGUGACUAAUAUUCACAGUGAAUAUUUAUUUUCACAUACGAAUCUUAUCACUGCUACAUUUGCUGUAUUUGUCAUUAUUGAUAGAGCUGUCUGCUAUUUAUUCUGGAGAUGUAGUUAACCAUUUUUCCUUCCACAUUUUUGGGGUGGUAUUGGAAGUAUUAGCUUUAUUUCUCCCCUUCCUCUCCAGUCCUUUUUAGGAAGUAGCACAUCCCAUCAGAUGUUUAGCAGUCAUCACCAAGAUGCAUUAGUUUUAUGAUAUCUUACAUACUUACUUAUAUUUGAGUUAUCAGGAGAAGGAAAAACAGAAGGGGAAAAAUAAACGAACAAGCAAACAAAACAAGAAAAGCCUUUCAUCUUGAAAGGAAAACAGCUUGGGAGUGGGCCAAGGUGCCUACCCACCCACUACUCUGUCCUGCUAGCAGACAAGCUAUAGAGUCCUGUAGUGAGAGCGCUACUUGAAGCUUUAUUGCCACAGAAGAAGUUCAAAUACUCUCCCAUUGCCAUCACUAUCACCAGAGUUUGCUGGUACGCAUUCAUGGUAAAUUAGCUAUUCUCAUCUUUGCUGAAGAUAUAGGAAUAGCGCUGUUUAAGUGAGCUUUCCAUUGUGCCAGGGAAACAAUACAUCCCAAACUAAAAAAUGGCUAUGCAGCUCAGGUGCAUUGUUAGGAAAAUACACUGCAAAAUUUGUCACUGUUGUAUACUAGGCUGUAAAGUACUCACUGAAAAAUAAAUAAAAGAAGUCAACCUCAGUUUUCUGUGUUAUGACUCUUAAUCCAUG
ensembl:lncRNA